rnacentral:rRNA from 1 species
UAGGGAAUUUUCGUCAAUGGGGGAAACCCUGAACGAGCAAUGCCGCGUGAGUGAAGAAGGAUUUCGGUCUGUAAAGCUCUGUUGUAAAGGAAGAAAGCGAAGUAGAGGAAAUGCUACUUCGUUGACGGUACUUUACCAGAAAGCCACGGCUAACUACGUGCCAGCAGCCGCGGUAAUACGUAGGUGGCAAGCGUUAUCCGGAAUUAUUGGGCGUAAAGGGUGCGUAGGCGGCAUAAUAAGUCUGAUGUUAAAGGCAGUGGCUCAACCACUGUUAGCAUUGGAAACUGUUAAGCUAGAGUACAGAAGGGGCAAGUGGAAUUCCAUGUGUAGCGGUAAAAUGCGUAGAUAUAUGGAGGAACACCAGUGGCGAAGGCGGCUUGCUGGUCUGUAACUGACGCUG